ACCAAUCUCUAAAUUAAGACUUUCUGCUGACCCAAAAGUCUGACCCAUAUCAUCCUUAUUCUGCAUUAAGAUAGGAUCAAAAACCUUCUUCUCAUUAACCUCAUCACCAAGAGAUGAAUUUACCACCUCUUUCAUAUUCACACCUCCAUUCUCAAAGUCAAAAGAUGAACUCCAAGAUUGGUCAAAUUCAUGAAAUAAGAUAGAUAUUUACAACCCGC
rnacentral:lncRNA from 1 species